rnacentral:lncRNA from 1 species
GGUCAGGCGAGGCGCAAACGUUGUCCGAGGGGGGCGUUACCGAAAUCGGAAUCCAGAAAACGAGAGCCGGAGGUCAGGGAGCCGAGGGUGACGUGGAGGGGAAACGAGAGUGAGGAUCACGGAAGGAAGACACUAGACAGACUACAGGGCUCUGGGGAGGUUCCGCGAUUUGCCUUCUAUCUGGCUGCUCCUCUUACAGCCUGCUGCUGAUUGUUGCAGGUGGAGACAGUGGGCCCUGUCCACAAACCGGGGCUGCUACCAGCCAGACCAGCUUCCCAGCACAAAGAUGCCUCAGGUGUGAGUCUCUGACCUUGGACCUCUUUUGGAAACUCUUUCUCAGAGAUCCUCGCGAUGAUUUUUGGUGAGUCCAGCUGCAGGGGGGCGUACGAAGGGUGGGCAGUUUUGAGUACCUGGCGCAGAA